rnacentral:misc_RNA from 1 species
CCCCAAAGUGCACGUGCGCGACAUGUGCGGCAUCUCGGACGGUUGGCCGGGUGGGCGGGUGCCGCACAGAUGCCAGAGGCACGGCGAGAGAACCCCCACGCUGCAUCAUCGGAGGGGAAAGGAGGGGGAGGGUCCUCCAGACCCGAAUGUAACCAGUCACCCGAGCAUACUAUGGAAUGCGGCCCCGCUUAAUGCGACUGAGGAAGACGCACGGCCUAUGGGCAGGGUGCAGGGUUUCCGAGAGGGUGCUGACUUGAGGCUGCCCGAUUUCCUCCUUGCGCACAUCCGGCAUGCACCUGGACCACGCGCUGCAACCCGCAUGAUGCAAGCUCCACCGCUUCCGCCCUUGGGCGGCCUGUGGCAGGCCGGGGCAAAAUGGAGCUCGGUCCUCAUACACUAUGGCAGAAUGGACACUUGAGAAGGAACUGCAUCUUCUCUCUUCAUUGUAUGUGUGCGACGCUAAUAUGCCAAACACUCAAAGAAAACGUAUUCAAAGGACCUGCUUACAGCGAGUUGCACGUGCUGGCGUGCGCAAGAUCCCUUCCCCCUCCUAAUGCGGAGACAGAGGAUAUGCGAACG